rnacentral:lncRNA from 1 species
AAGUAGAGUGCCGGCGCUGUCGGGGAGCUCCUGCCCUGACAUUGCUGGCUUUGAAGAUGGUGGAAGGAGAUCAAUCAAGGAAGCAGGUGGCCUCUAAAAGCUGGAAAAAGUACAGAGAGCCUCCACCUUGAUCUUGGCCCAGUUAGAACCCUGUCAGGCUUCCUUCUACCGAGCUGUAAAGGAAGAUUAGCCCUGAGCUAACUACUGCCAAUCCUCCUCUUUUUGCUGAGGAAGCCUGGCCCUGAGCUCACAUCCGUGCCCAUCUUCCUCUACUUUAUACAUGGGACGCCUACCACAGCAUGGUGUGCCAAGCAGUGCCAUGUCUGCACCCGGGAUCCGAACCCACGAACCCUGGGCCACUGAGAAGCAGAACGUGCGAACUUAACUGCUAUGCCAGCGGGCAGGCCCCCCAAUUCUUUCUUAUCUUCACUAAGACAGCACAUUCAGAAAAACUUUCAGUAGGACCUCACCCAAAUCCUCUCUUCUUACUGACUGAACACAUAGGUGUAGCCCCUUAGUGCAGGCCAGAGAAGGUAAACGUGUGCUUCUCCUUGGGCAUCAUGGCCCAGUAGACCAGCUGAAGUUCUCUGACUGCAAUGAUCGUCCUCUGGUGAGUUCAUGCAAAAUAUUUUUCAAACGUGAUGCUAAUUCACAAAAUUACAGAUUUUCAACCUUAUGAUUUUAAGAAGCAUUUCAGUAUGAUAAGUGCCAAUUAUAUUCCUAACCUCCUGUUUCUCCAGGCAAGGCAGCUCCUCUUCAAAUCUGGCUCUUGUAACAGCUCUCAACUUACUCUUUAAACGAGUAGUAAACUGGAAGUUUCUUUCUCUAUUUGGAGCUUUGUUUUCCUCUUUUAAAGUAUGUCUUCUCACAGGUUUCACUGGGAAUUGUAUUGAAUAUAAAACAUGAAAUCUUUUUCUAUCUAGAGAUAAUGUGUAUAUGUUUGAGUGCGUGUGUGCUUGAGUGUGUUUGAGGGGCAUAAAGGAAUAGAUUACGUAAUUUCCAAGGCAAUAGAAGACACUUCCAGCAAUAUAGGAACCUUACUUGCUAAAGUGUAGGGAAAAUUCCUAAUGGUUUUAGGGAGGUAUUCUCAAAACAGCAAAUCUGUGUGUUAUUCUGUCAUUUAGAAAUGUGACAAGUCAUUUUUCCCUUUACAAGG